AAAGUAAACGAAUUAACAGAGGAAAAAGAUUUGCAGGAUGACUUAGCAAGAUUCAGAGGCAGUUUAGAAGUAAGGAAAGAAGAUAAGAAAAGAGUAUAUCAAUAAGGAAAGAAAGACAAGGCAAGAUUUUAGGUGCAAGGAACGGAAAGAAAAGAAUAUUAGUAAGAAAAGAAAGACAAGGCAAGAUUUUAGGUGCAAGGAACGGAAAGAAAAGAAUAUUAUUAAGAAAAGAAAGACAAGGCAAGAUUUUAGGUGCAAGGAACGGAAAGAAAAGGAAACAAAACAAAGAAAAAAGAGAAAGGAUUAGCAAGAAUCAAACACAGAUAAAAAGGACAACUAAAAAACCCAAAA